UCCAGUAGAAUUCGUGUCCUUAUAAAAAGUGGAAGAGACAUCAGAGAGCUCUCUUUCUUCAUGAGCACAUGAAGAGGAUACAUGAAGACAGCAAGAAAGCAGUAAUCUAAAAUAAACUGAAGGCAGAACAAAGACUAGAAGCCAUAUUCUUUAACCUCUACUUCCUCUCUCGACUCAGCAGUUGCAGUGCAAUAAAUUAUUAUUGUAAAUGUUCUCCCCACACCUCUUUUGCUCCAAGAUAAAUAAUUUGAAUGACAACAAAUAUGGAGAAAGUAUUCAAAGAGAAUGGGGGCGAAAUUUAUUGCACAGAGGCCAAUGGAUAGCUGGAAAUGGUUCAGAACUAUAUAAGCCUGUUGCCACUAAAUUGGAGGUGGACAUUUGCCCACAAUAUCAAACCAUUUGUAUGGUGAUGCUUUAUGAAUACACCUACUUUGUUUUGGAAGUUACGUAUAAAUGUAUAUCUAGAUGUCUAUGUAUCUAUCUAUUAUCUAUUUUAAUAUAAAAUUUCUAACACUAACUCUUGAUUCUUCUAAAUCUAUUUAACUUUACUACCAAAAUUCAUAUUUUUAAUUUAUAGAUUCUUAAUAUUUUAAUUUGCAAUAAAGCAGAUAAAAGUAGCUGAACUUUUUCAAAAUAAUGUAUUCCUACUGCUGUCCUGAAACAUACAUUCCUGUUCAUCAUAGACAUUGUGUUAAACAUUGUCAACUUACAAGUGGAAAUAAACUUUUUGUUAUUUCUAAUUUCUAUUAUCUUGAAAUGUGUUAAUCACUUUAUUUUUGUAAGUGUAUAUCUCUAAGCUCCUAAAAACUUAGUGACAUACAAAUUUAUUAUAAUAUUUCCAACCUCAAAUAUUUUCUUUUAUGUCUAUAAAAUAAAUAUAUCCCUAGUUGACAG
rnacentral:lncRNA from 10 species